GACGAACGCUGGCGGCGUGCUUAACACAUGCAAGUCGAACGGAAAGGCCCUGCUUUUGUGGGGUGCUCGAGUGGCGAACGGGUGAGUAACACGUGAGUAACCUGCCCUUGACUUUGGGAUAACUUCAGGAAACUGGGGCUAAUACCGGAUAGGAGCUCCUGCUGCAUGGUGGGGGUUGGAAAGUUUCGGCGGUUGGGGAUGGACUCGCGGCUUAUCAGCUUGUUGGUGGGGUAGUGGCUUACCAAGGCUUUGACGGGUAGCCGGCCUGGGAGGGUGACCGGCCACAUUGGGACUGAGAUACGGCCCAGACUCCUACGGUAGGCAGCGGUGGGGAAUAUUACACAAUGGGCGGAAGCCUGAUGCGGCACCGCCGCGUGCGGGGUGACGGCCUUCGGGUUGUAAACCGCUUUCGCCUGUGACGAGGCGUGAGUGACGGUAAUGGGUAAAGAAGCACCGGCUAACUACGUG
rnacentral:rRNA from 1 species